rnacentral:rRNA from 1 species
AGAUUGAACGCUGGCGGCAGGCCUAACACAUGCAAGUCGAGCGGCAGCACGGGUACUUGUACCUGGUGGCGAGCGGCGGACGGGUGAGUAAUGCCUAGGAAUCUGCCUGGUAGUGGGGGAUAACGCUCGGAAACGGACGCUAAUACCGCAUACGUCCUACGGGAGAAAGCAGGGGACCUUCGGGCCUUGCGCUAUCAGAUGAGCCUAGGUCGGAUUAGCUAGUUGGUGAGGUAAUGGCUCACCAAGGCGACGAUCCGUAACUGGUCUGAGAGGAUGAUCAGUCACACUGGAACUGAGACACGGUCCAGACUCCUACGGGAGGCAGCAGUGGGGAAUAUUGGACAAGUGGGCGAAAGCCUAGAUCCAGCCAUGCCGCGUGUGUGAAGAAGGUCUUCGGAUUGUAAAGCACUUUAAGUGGAGGAAGGCAGUUACCUAAUACGUAUCUGUUUGACGUUACGACAGAAUAAGCACCGGCUAACUCUGU